rnacentral:rRNA from 1 species
CAGUCGCCACGGGAAUACAGAGGGUGCGAGCGUUAAUCGGAUUUACUGGGCGUAAAGCGUGCGUAGGCGGCUUCUUAAGUCGGAUGUGAAAUCCCUGAGCUUAACUUAGGAAUUGCAUUCGAUACUGGCAAGCUAGAGUCUUGUAGAGGGGGGUAGAAUUCCAGGUGUAGCGGUGAAAUGCGUAGAGAUCUGGAGGAAUACCGGUGGCGAAGGCGGCCCCCUGGACAAAGACUGACGCUCAGGUGCGAAAGCGUGGGGAGCAAACAGGAUUAGAUACCCGUGUAGUCCCUGUCUCUUAUAC